AAACAGAUUCCAUUCCCAGCACCAGAUCUCAUCCCUGGAAAAUCAAUGGCAGUGGAGACAGAAUCCCUAAAAUGCAUUAUGGAAUUGCAAGCUAAAGCCAAGGCAUACCCAUUCAACAGUGACUCACUGUGCAGCCUGGGCUGUCUCAGUUCAGGAAGAGGUGAAUGGGGCAGUGAUAGUUCUCAGUCUCAUAAAACACUUCAAGAACUUCCUGUGAAAAGGAGUAGCCCUGUUACUACAAUCUCUUACCCGCCUGCUUUCUAGCCCAGUAACAUAGAAAGAGCAAAGAACAAAAUCCCUGCAGAAAACAUAGUCCUCCUGCUCGGCAUCUAUUUGUAUGAGAAUUUGGGACCCCCACCCAUCCCUUCCUGACACAUCUGAUAAAACUGGAAGUUACAAGAGUACUUUGGUGAUCUGCUCUGGGUGAGCCAAAGUGCCUUGUCUCUGGCUGGUGCAAGAUCAAACCCUCCACAGGAAGCAGGAAGGUAAGAGCAGCAAGAGCACUGGAAAACACAGGAUGCAGACACUGUAGAAUCAGUGCUGUUUCCUGCUUGACUCAGCAGGAGUUAUUUGUUUUUAAUUUGGUAUUGUCAUCCACUUGUUUACACUGAUACAGACCUAGUCUGGAGAAACCAAUCCGUGAUUUCCAAACAACUAACACAUUCCAUCACGGGUCAUAAUCCCACGCUUGAUUGAUACAUCAUGGCCUAUAACAGUCAUGCCAGUGUGUGGAAUUGCACCCAUUUCUUGGUUUGCUUGUCUCAGACGGUGCACAAAGGUGAAUGUGAAUGGUGGUAACAAAGCACUGGGCUGCACUGACGCAAUGUGAUUGGACUCAGCUGCAAUAUCACAGUUUCAUAAUGCAGAAGGCUUUGAAGAGCCAAACAGACCCCAAACAUCCUGUGAAGCACAGCUGCAGGCAGGUGCUUGGCCAUUCCCAAGAAACCAGGGCUGUGUAACAGCUACUUGGAAAGAUAAACAACGUAACUCUGAACCUGCCUCCUUCCUUCCUCUUUUUGUAGAUUUAAGUGUGAGUAUGAUGUGGAAUAUGAUCAGUAUGGAACCUGACAAAAGGUGGGGUCAGCUGUUCUGGCUGCAUUCUCUCACAGCUCCUUGUGCACCCCCAGACCACUCAUGUGUGGGGUGGAGUGGGGUGAGGAGCAGAAA